GGAAGUGGUGGUUCAGUGGUUAAACUGUUGGGCUACUAACUAGAUGGUUGUGAGUUCAAAUCCCGGCACUACCG